rnacentral:tRNA from 1 species
UCUUCAGUAGCUCAGUAGGUAGAGCGAAUGGCUGUUAACCAUCAGGACGUUAGUUCGAAUCUAACCUGAAGAG